rnacentral:rRNA from 1 species
AUACGGAGGGUCCGAGCGUUAAUCGGAAUUACUGGGCGUAAAGCGCGCGUAGGCGGAUAUUUAAGUCAGGUGUGAAAUCCCUGGGCUCAACCUAGGAACUGCAUUUGAAACUGGAUAUCUAGAGUAUGGUAGAGGUGAGUGGAAUUUCAGGUGUAGCGGUGAAAUGCGUAGAGAUCUGAAGGAACAUCAGUGGCGAAGGCGACUCACUGGGCCAUUACUGACGCUGAGGUGCGAAAGCGUGGGUAGCAAACAGGAUUAGAAACCCCGGUAGUCC